rnacentral:rRNA from 1 species
UACGUAGGGUGCAAGCGUUAAUCGGAAUUACUGGGCGUAAAGCGUGCGCAGGCGGUUUUUGUAAGUCAGAUGUGAAAAUCCCCCGGGCUUAACCUGGGAACUGCGUUUGAAACUACAAGGCUAGAGUGUGGCAGAGGGGGGGUGGAAUUCCACGUGUAGCAGUGAAAUGCGUAGAGAUGUGGAGGAACACCGAUGGCGAAGGCAGCCCCCUGGGCUGACACUGACGCUCAGGCACGAAAGCGUGGGGAGCAAACAGG